rnacentral:rRNA from 1 species
AUGGUCUCGGCGCAGAAGCGGGGCACCGAGAAGCCGCCGCCGUUGUUGGCGUCGGACUGCGUGAGCGUCUUGGCGAAGGAGGCCGGCUUGGGGCGGUCGUCCUCGGCGGCGUCGCCCACGUCGACCGCCGGCUCGCCCUGGCGGAGCGGGGCGAGGCGGAUCUUGGCGAAGACCUCGUCGGUCUGCGGGUCGGCCAUGAAGCGCACGGCGGAGACGCGGCAGGGGAGGAGGGCCGGCACGCGCGCGGCGGACAGGUCGACGGUGGCGGCGGCCUGCUCUGCGUGGCCCUGCGGGAAGUAG